CUCACUUUUGCCACAACUCUGGCCUCCUUCUUUUUUGAUUCAUUUAUUUCUUCAAUUCUGUAAGAUAGGAGGAGAGAUAGUCCCCUUUGAGCAGAGAACAGUCUCUGACAGAGACUAGCUGAAGAGAGAGUGGGGGAGGAGAAAGAAGAAAAAAUAGAAAAUUCCAGGAGAGAAUCAGAAGCUGAGAGGUCCAACUGGCCACUCACUUCCAGCUGAGAGACUGAGGGAAGAUGCAGAUAGCUUAGGCUUGGAAGAAGCCUGUCUCUUUGGAGAUCAACUGCCUCUUUCUAAACCCCUGGAUACCUCUCAUUCAACUCUCAAUAACAGCAUCAAAGCCAUUGCCCCAAGGCACUGUCCAUCAGAAGCUCCUGAAAGAGAUAAAGGGGAAAGGUAUUGACUUGUGAUUUCUUUGGUAUGGAGAUCUAGUAUGUAAAUUGCCUCCACUGAUGCAGAAGAGGAAUUUGUAACUUGCUUCUUAAAAUAAUUACCUAAAACACCAAGAGGAUGAGAUUUGCCUAUAGACACCUAAAUCAUAUUUAUUAAAGGUAAUUUUUCUGUCUCCCAAGCUAUGCCUUCAUUCAAAACCCUAUAUUUCCUGGUUUUUUUAAAAAAAGAAUUAAGAUUAAAGAAGAAAAAAAGAAAGGGAAAAACCAAACUGUGGUAGAAAAUAUAUUCCUAAUGGUAAAGCAAUGGUUCAAUAAAUUGUGAUACUUGAAUGUAAUUGAAUUCCA
rnacentral:lncRNA from 1 species